rnacentral:SRP_RNA from 1 species
GCUGGGUGUGGUGGCGUGCACCUAUAGUCCCAGCUACUCAGGAGGCUGAGGCAGGAGGAUCACCUGAGUCUGGGGAGGUUAAGGAUGCAGUGAGCCCUGAUGGCACCACUGCAUUUUUGCCUGGGCAACAGUGUAAGACCUUGUCUCAA